GAUGAACGUUAGCGGCAGGCUUAACACAUGCAAGUCGAGGGGUAGAAGUCUUCGGACUUUGAGACCGGCGCACGGGUGCGUAACGCGUAUGCAAUCUGCCUUGUACAAAGGGAUAGCCCAGAGAAAUUUGGAUUAAUACCUUAUAGUAUAUCGAUGUGGCAUCACAAUGAUAUUAAAGAUUUAUCGGUACAAGAUGAGCA
rnacentral:rRNA from 1 species